UAGUCAUAAGCUUGUUUCAAAGAUUAAGCCAUGCAUGUUUAAGUUUAAGCAAUAAACGGUGAAACUGCGAAUGGCUCAUUAAAUCAGUCAUAGUUUAUUUGAUGGUACCCUACUACAUGGAUAACUGUGGUAAUUCUAGAGCUAAUACAUGCUGAAAAAUCUCAACUUUUGGAAGAGAUGUAUUUAUUAGAUCCAAAACCAAUGGCCUUCGGGUCUCCUUGGUGAAUCAUGAUAACUGCUCGAAUCGCAUGGCCUUGCGCCGGCGAUGCUUCAUUCAAAUAUUUGCCCUAUCAACUUUUGAUGGUAGGAUAGAGGCCUACCAUGGUGAUGACGGGUAACGGGGAAUAAGGGUUUGAUUCCGGAGAGAGGGCCUGAGAAACGGCCCUCAGGUUUAAGGACACGCAGCAGGCGCGCAAAUUAUCCCCUGGCAACACUUUGCCGAGAUAGUGACAAUAAAUAACAAUGCAGGGCUUUUACGGGUCUUGCAAUUGGAAAGAGUACAAUUUAAAUCCCUUAACGAGGAUCCCUU
rnacentral:rRNA from 1 species